CCGCGGCAAGACGGAAAGACCCCGUGAACCUUUACUAUAGCUUGACACUGAACACUGGUCCUUGAUGUGCAGGAUAGGUGGGAGGCUUUGAAGCGCGGACGCCAGUUCGUGUGGAGCCAUCCUUGAAAUACCACCCUUUAAUGGCUGGUGUUCUAACGUAGACCCGUGAUCCGGGUUGCGGACAGUGUCUGGUGGGUAGUUUGACUGGGGCGGUCUCCUCCUAAAGAGUAACGGAGGAGCACGAAGGUUAGCUAAUCCUGGUCGGACAUCAGGAGGUUAGUGCAAAGGCAUAAGCUAGCUUGACUGCGAGCGUGACGGCGCGAGCAGGUGCGAAAGCAGGUC
rnacentral:rRNA from 1 species